rnacentral:lncRNA from 1 species
CUCGAAGGGACCUCACUCGACUCUCCAACUCGGUAGUCCUUCUUUCUUUUGUUUAUUCCUUUGAAUAAUGGUUGGGACAACAUUCUAUCUCGUUGUCUAAUUCUUUAUCUGAAAACACUGCGUGUUUACAUUCAAAGGGAGCAUGAUGUAGACACGUAAUGUUGUCCCUCCCUGAAAGCAUUUUAUCCAUUUAUUUUAUUCUUGUCUUACCAUGUAUCCUACCCUGUGUGAUAACUUCUUCCAUAAAAUGACAAAUAAUAACCAAUUCUCAACCAAACCAUAGCAAAUUUUAUCAUCCUAACAACCUACCCGACCUCACCUUCCCCCACGCAUUCCCCUAUCCCCUCACAUUUUAUUUCAUUUUGGAACCAAUUCACAAAAGAAAAAAAUAGAUAGACGGCCCCACAGUAACAAAUUCCACACCUUACAAGAAAUUCUCUUUUUCUCCACAAUAUUCCAUAGACACCACAUGAAUAACCACUACAUAUACACAGUCUCUCUCAUAUACAUACCUAGAAAAAAGAUCACCAGGAGGACACCAUGAACACAUUCGAUUAACACACACUCACAAUAACAACCUUCACACGAAAUUGAUGCGCACACACACAUAUACUCGAUAAACACAUGCAUAUGACAGUUAUAGUGAAAACAACAGGAAAAGAAGGGGAAAAUGGAGUGAGAAUUGAGGUGGAAGAAUGAAGUGGACUUUCGGUUACUGUUUUGACGACGGUUUCACCGGAAAUGCUUCAAACGUCACCAGAUCUGUUCAAAAUCGUCAUCAAUCCACGUCCUUUGAUUGAUUUCUCUAACGAAUCUGGCGAGAAAAAUAUUUUGAGCGGGCUUCUUAUUCUUUUUCGGUGGAAAAUACCUUUAAACGGGUGAGAUUUUAAAAAUUAGGUCCGUUCGUUUCUUUUACGGGUUUUAGCAUUGCUAUAUCAGCCUAUUUGGGUUAAUUCCGUUAGGGUUUUGGUGGAUUUUGGUGAAACUUAUGUAUGGGGGUUUCGGUUUUGUUCAUAUUUACUGUUUUGGGUAUGCAUCUGGAAUUUAGUUCGAAUCAAAACUUGAGCUAUCGUAUUGCUGGUUUGUUUCGCUACUGAUUGGGAGAAUCGAAUUUGGGGUUAUCACAUCUUGGACUAUUUUUCGACUGAUUUGGAGAGUCGAGGUUGCACUGGUAUUCUUCGAGGUUCUCGGAACGACCCUUAUUUCUCCUAUUAAGUCAAUCGAAAGCUAUUGAGGUCCAUUUCCUCAACUUAAUCUCUUUUCUAUUUCGCCAUGAUAUGAUGUUUGAUGUCUGAUCUUUGUUAGAUUGUGAUGACUUGAUGAUAUAAAUUUUGAGCGAUGUUUGAUUGGUUGUUUAGAUUUCGUUAAUAGAAUUGAUUAAAGAUUGUUGAAAUUGUAAUUGUGAAUCAGAGAAUUUGAAAUUAAAAAGGAAUUUAGGGGUGGAGUUGCGAAGUUGGUAAAAAUGGUGAAUUUGGUUGAAUAUUGGUUUUAUUGUUGUUCCUUUUGUUUAAUUCGAAAUAAGUGCGAAUAUUGUUAGAACGCGAUAGAUCACAACAGCUUGAAAUGAAUAGGCAAAUAUAGGUUCGGGUAGGCAAAAUUUAGGAAUAUGUGCUUCGUUGGAUGUUUGAAUGUGGAGUUGUGUGUUGAAUAUUUUCUAGUUUAUUGCAUUCAAUUGAAAUGUAUUCAUUUGGUUGGGGGAUGCCCCGAAGUUUCUUGUAUUUGUUCACCGGGGAAUGCCCUGACGUAUUAUGUUAGUGGAAGAUGUUCGUGGUGAAGGCCCGAGGCAUCGGGUAAAGCAUGGGAGCGCAGUUCAAGAUUAGUGUAGGUUAGAAUAAGAUUUAUUUCUCGCAUUUUUUUACUUUGGACUGUAUAAUCGGACUCUAUCUUUUUGAUUCGUUUUGUUUUGUUUAUUGGUUUGAUUGUUUUACGUGUUUUUGUGUAGUUUGUACAUUCGUAGUGCCAAAUUAGCCGAUAUGCUCCAUCAAGCGACCGUGGAUGAACCACGAGAUCGAGGGGUGCCUAACACCUUCCCCUUGGUCAACAGAAUUCCUUAGUCGGAAUCUCUAUUCGCGGAUCAGUUUUAGAGUCAAAACCAUUUUUGAAAAAGGAUUUCCAAAGGUGACUUGGCACACCAGAUUUAUGCCAAGUGGAGACUCUGAGUUUAAAUGUAAAAAGUCCUUUUCGAAACAAUUUUUUCUUCAUUUUGUCUCUUUAAUAACAAAAACCCUUUCCAAACUUAAAAUCAAUCUUUCUUUUUGGAGUUAAAAAAGGGGUGUGACAUUAACUAUUAUGCUAACAAAGGCAUCAUCACAGAGAUCGAAGAAGCAGACCAACCUUUUGGUACACCUUCAGAAAUACAAGACAGAUAUUCUACAAGUAUGGAGAUAUUACGUAAUAAAAUUAAGGAGGAAAUUGUUGAGAACUUUUGUGAUGUAUGAAGGUCUAAUUAUUUUUAUCGUUAAUUUUUUCAUAUAUAAUGAUUUAAUUUAUGAAAUAACUUCUGUAUUCAUUUUUGUUUGAUGUUUUAAG